AGUGAACGCUGGCGGCAGGCCUAAUACAUGCAAGUCGAACGGCAGCACAGUGGAGCUUGCUCCAUGGGUGGCGAGUGGCGGACGGGUGAGGAAUACAUGGGAAUCUGCCCAGUCGUGGGGGAUAACGUAGGGAAACUUACGCUAAUACCGCAUGCGCCCUUCGGGGAAAGCCGGGGACCGUAAGGCCUGGCGCGAUUGGAUGAGCCCAUGUCGGAUUAGCUAGUUGGCGGGGUAACGGCCCACCAAGGCGACGAUCCGUAGCUGGUCUGAGAGGAUGAUCAGCCACACUGGAACUGAGACACGGUCCAGACUCCUACGGGAGGCAGCAGUAGGGAAUAUUGGACAAUGGGCGCAAGCCUGAUCCAGCCGUGCCGCGUGAGUGAAGAAGGCCUGGUGUAA
rnacentral:rRNA from 1 species